rnacentral:rRNA from 1 species
AACGAACGCUGGCGGCAGGCCUAAAACAUGCAAGUCGAACGCUGUAGCAAUACAGAGUGGCGCACGGGUGAGUAACACAUGGGAAUGUGCCUUUUGGUACGGAACAACUUUUGGAAACGAAAGCUAAUACCGUAUGGUCCCUUCGGGGUAAAGAUUUAUCGCCAAAAGAGCAGCCCGCGUCUGAUUAGCUAGUUGGUGAGGUAAUGGCUCACCAAGGCGACGAUCAGUAGCUGGUCUGAGAGGACGAUCAGCCACACUGGGACUGAGACACGGCCCAGACUCCUACGGGAGGCAGCAGUUAGGAAUAUUGGACAAUGGGCGCAAGCCUGAUCCAGCCAUGCCGCGUGAGUGAUGAAGGCCUUCGGGUUGUAAAGCUCUUUAGCCGAUGAAUAUAAUGACUGUAGUCGGAAAAUAAGCCCCGGCUAACUUCGUGCCAGCCGCCGCAGUAA